rfam:Rattus norvegicus chromosome 16, whole genome shotgun sequence.
GGAGAGAUGGCUCAGUGCUUAAGAGCACUGAUUGCUCCUUCAGAGGACCUGGGUUCAAAUCCCAGCACCC